UGGUCCCAUCCUGCUGCUGACUGAGCUGCGCGCCAUCCACCAGCUGGACGCUGUCCUGGAGGCACAGGAAGUGGGCCGGCCAUCAGCCCAUCCCGGGGAACAGGCACCACAGCCCACCGAGCUUUCAGUCACUGUGGGCUGCGGGUUGCCCUCGAUGACCGCCUGGAACUGCGCGGUGUGGCCCCUCUGUGCCUGAACAUCCUCGAUGGUGACCUGCAUGGAUGGCGGUCCUGGGGGUGGAGGAGGGAGCCCGUGGGGAGGAGCCCAGACUGCGGCCUGCACCCCCUACAGCCCGUCCUGCAAUGAAUCUGUGAGCUGGAGCCUACCUAGCGCCUCAGGAAGUAUGGGAGUUCUCAGAGAGAAAGGGGCCUGGGUGCCGUGCCAGGGAGACCGUGCUCAGGGCAGUGAGCACAGAGCCCCACCACCCAAGCUGGUGCCUAGAUACCUUCAGGAGAACAUCGACUCCUUAGGGACAACUGGGCCUGGACACCCACCCUGUGCCGUCUGCCCCUCAGUUUCAGCUCAUCCCAACCCUUCGUCCUAUGCUGGCUCCCAUGUGGCCCACUCCAGACCCCAGGCCUGGUGGACCCAGCUCCACGCUCUAGGGAAGCCUAUAGACAGCCUGAUGCUGAAUCAGGGGCCUGGGGUCGUAAGGGGCAGGGGCUCCCUUCCUGCUCUCCUAUGGCAGCCCCUGCCCCUAGCCCAGCAGCUUUCUCCCCUCCACCUGAGGUCCUGUCCGCCCUUCCCUCCAAGUGCACCCUCACCUGGCCCCUGCCCUGGCCUCCCAUGAAGCUUCCACCUUCCCCCAGGGAACUUCCAGACCCUCCCUUGUUAGCUCCCUGCCCUCAGUCCCUGUGCAGCCCCAUCCUCCACCUGGCUGUCAGCCCCAGGCAGCAACACUGUGGCCUCAUGGGUGUGCCCAGGAAUGCCCACUGCUCUGUUCCCGGCAGGUCCCCCUGCCUAGAGCACCGUCCCCCUUCCCGGCACCAGAACUCUCCAUGGUCAGGGCAUCCACCUUGACCUUCCCCAUACCAAGAGGUCAACAGGACCCCCUACACACACACACCCCCCAUACCCUGCCUUGUCUAUUCUGACACGAGCCCCCUGCGCGGGGGCAGGAAGACCUGCUCACCAGUGGCAGGCUGAGAGCCAUCACUGCGGGCGGUCACACCAUGUGUGCCUGUGACCAGCCCCACAGCCCAUGUGUGAGCA